GAAUUUUCUCCCCCAGGAGGUCUUCUAUUUCCUGCCUUUGUCUGGAUUAGAUACUCUCCAGGUCUGCUGCAUUUGAGGAUGCUCCUUUUCUUCUGGAACUCCUGCUAUUCUGAGGCUGUAUCUCCUGGAAUGUUCUUUUAUCUGCCUCUUUUCAUUCACAUUUUCUGCCCACACUUUCUUUCCUACCCUGUAAAAUAUAUUAUUGCUUUUUCAUUCUAGCAAUAAUAUUAUAAAUCCCUAAGAAUGCUUUGACAUUCCCUAGUUGAUACUUUUGUCAAGAAUCCUAGCUUUAUUUGAUCUCUCUGAUCAUAUCAGAGGUUUCUCUUCUGCUUCCUGAGUGAUCUGUUUUUCUCUGAUGUUAAAUUUUCUAUUUUCUUGUUUUGGUCAUUAUUCUCUUUCAUGAUUUGAUUCUUCUCUUAUACCUAAUGAUCCUUGGUUGUCGUUAAAGAUGAUUAGGUGAAGGGGUGAGUAGGUGCUUUGGGGUGUUCUUUGCUAUUGUGUAAAUCAGUGUGUUUUCUUUCAGGUCCCUGCCUUAAUUGGUAUUCUGACCAGGAGCUCUCUAUGGAAUGAGGCCUGGGAGUGCCCUCACAUGAUUUUUUAUUCCUUAGUGGGAGAGUUUGGUGGAUGUAGUCUAAUUGCUCUUGGCAUCAGGAUUCACUUCUUUCUGCCCGGUAAGAAAAAUCCAUAUCAUGACACGGAAGAGAUGGAGGAAGAAGAGAAAACAAAAGGAUGUUUUUGUGUUGGCGAUUUGCCUGUGCAGUUGAUUUGCAUGAAGCAUGAUUAAUGAUAACUAAGGAAAUAGUUUUACCAGGUAGAAGGAGAUGAAAAAUUAUCCUCAUAAAAUAACACUUCACAGGGUAAGCAUUUCAACAUUAAAAAAUGAUUCAUUGCGAUUUUGUGACAUAAAACAACUAUGUAAACUAGUAAUAAGAUAAACUUAUUAGCCAGUGUUUAUUAGUUUGAUUUGUUUACCCCAGGCUUGCGUUUUCUAGGACAAAAGCUUAACGUUCCACUUCUUUCUAGAAACUGCACAAGGUCACGAGGCAAAUUACCAGUUCAGGACAAUUUGACAAGACAAAUGCAAGCAUUACAAACCAGUUCAUCUAUAAGUAAUUGAGGAUAUGAAACUAAACAUAGUAGAAAUUCAUGUUAUGUUGUGUUAAAUUGCUAGAUUACAAUCUCAGUUUCUUUACUUUGAAAGGGUGAAUCCUUUUGAGAAAAUGAAAUCCAUUUUACAACUCACACAUAAUGUUUUAUGUGGCUGACAGCAUAAAUAUUUUUAAAAGUGUCCCACAUAAUAUAAAAUAUAAAAGCCUUGGGUCAUGGUCACGUGAUAUGAAUAGUUAAUAUAUGAG
rnacentral:lncRNA from 10 species